rnacentral:rRNA from 1 species
AACGAACGCUGGCGGCAUGCCUAACACAUGCAAGUCGAACGAGACCUUCGGGUCUAGUGUCGCACGGGUGCGUAACGCGUGGGAACCUGCCCUUAGGUUCGGAAUAACUCCCCGGAAGGGGUGCUAAUACCGGGUAAUGUCUUCGGACCAAAGAUUUAUCGCCGUUGGAUGGGCCCGCGUUGGAUUAGCUAGUUGGUAGGGUAAAAGCCUACCAAGGCGACGAUCCAUAGCUGGUCUGAGAGGAUGAUCAGCCACACUGGGACUGAGACACGGCCCAGACUCCUACGGGAGGCAGCAGUGGGGAAUAUUGGACAGUGGGCGAAAGCCUGAUCCAGCAAUGCCGCGUGAGUGAUGAAGGACUUAGGGUUGUAAAGCUCUUUUACACGCGAUGAUAAUGACAGUACCGGGAGAAUAAGCUCCGGCUAACUCCGUG